GAGUAAUGUCUGGGAAACUGCCUGAUGGAGGGGGAUAACUACUGGAAACGGUAGCUAAUACCGCAUAACGUCGCAAGACCAAAGAGGGGGACCUUCGGGCCUCUUGCCAUCGGAUGUGCCCAGAUGGGAUUAGCUAGUAGGUGGGGUAACGGCUCACCUAGGCGACGAUCCCUAGCUGGUCUGAGAGGAUGACCAGCCACACUGGAACUGAGACACGGUCCAGACUCCUACGGGAGGCAGCAGUGGGGAAUAUUGCACAAUGGGCGCAAGCCUGAUGCAGCCA
rnacentral:rRNA from 1 species